GUUUAGUUCAGUCCAGUCGGGAGAGCAUUAGACUCUUAAUCUCAGGGUUAUUGGUUUGAACCCCAUGUUGGGUG